UUACUAAGGAAUUCGAGCGACUAUGGAAAUAACUGUCAGAGACCGGUAUUCUCCUCUGGCAGUUAUCGUUAUUGGCUCGUAGUUCUAGUUCUCUGGCAGUUAUCGGGCUACCACCACAGGUAACCUGGAAGCUGGUAACGGAAUAACUGUGUGUGUAGACGUUCCUGACUCGGUGACUCCAGUUAAAGGUCGUAGUUCCAGGUGAUAUUUCCAGAGAGGAUAGUAACUGGAGCGAACAAAUAUUUUCGUACUGCUACGGAAACGACGGUGGGCCAUCGGGGAGAGGGGAUGGCAAAUAACGGGAAUCUAUCAUCUCAUUUCUCUGCAAUUCUUGGUGUUCUGGAACAGGUGUCACUAUUUUUCCGGCCUUUGGUUGCGUUACAGGGUAUUGACUUUCGUUCCGCGUUCUUGUUUUUCUUUUGUGUUGUUGAUAUUACCACCAAUAGUUACCAACAUGAAGAGGUCGAGGACAAGCGAAAUGUGGUCAUAUUUCGAAACUCUUGAUCGAGAGUUUGCGAAAUGUACUUUGUGCGGUAAGAAAUUAUCGUACAAAUCGACGACGACGAAUUUAAAAAAACAUCUUCAGAAAUCACAUUUAAUUGUGAAUUUCUCUUCACAAAGACCUUCGGAGCUAGAUUUGGGUGAAACCCUUCCUGUAGAGGUGAUCCUUGGCACCAGUAGUGUGGAAGAGGAGCGAGAGGCACACCAACACCAGCAGAUGAGUCUCUGUUUAAUACUUGGGAUAUUAUAACAGUAAGUUAUAGCUCCAGAAGUCAGUCACCAGCAGCAGAUGUCACACAGUUAUAAAAUGGGAAACUUGAAUAAGCAGCAGCAGCAGUCACACAGCCAUAAUGCGAGAAGCUUGAAGAAUAAUGUGUUAUGGCUCCGAUAGUCUUCCAGCAGCAGCAAAUGUUACACAGUCCUAUAGAGGCAAACUUGAAGUAUAUAGUAAUAGUGUUUUGCAUACAAUGGCAAACUUGACCUUUCGCUUAAAAUGGAGUAUCGGCUUUGAAAUUUGGUCACUGGAUACAACUAUAUUAUCUUUCAUGUUGAUAGCAGCAAUCAUCAGAUUGCAAUCCAGUUAAGUACCUGUGAGGCAUGAGAUGUCAAAAAUACUUGUGGGUUAUUGGUAGCCUGUGUCAAGGCAUGUGGCACCUCAAAGUUUGUAAGUACAGUAGCAUUUUGUUUUCUGCUUUACUUAAAAAUUGGUAGCUGUAGCACCCAUUCUGACAUUCAAUUAUUUUGAAUUUCAAGUUUCUUAGAAUGAUACUGACAUCAGUUUGUUAACACUAAUCCGUAUAUUAUUGUUAAUAUAUGCUGCUAUUUUCCUCAGAU